rnacentral:rRNA from 1 species
CCUACGGGUGGCUGCAGUGGGGAAUAUUGGACAAUGGGCGAAAGCCUGAUCCAGCCAUGCCGCGUGUGUGAAGAAGGCCUUCGGGUUGUAAAGCACUUUCAGUGGGGAAGAAAGCCUUGGGGCUAAUACCCUCGAGGAAGGACAUCACCCACAGAAGAAGCACCGGCUAACUCCGUGCCAGCAGCCGCGGUAAUACGGAGGGUGCGAGCGUUAAUCGGAAUUACUGGGCGUAAAGCGCGCGUAGGCGGUCUGAUAAGCCGGUUGUGAAAGCCCCGGGCUCAACCUGGGAACGGCAUCCGGAACUGUCAGGCUAGAGUGCAGGAGAGGAAGGUAGAAUUCCCGGUGUAGCGGUGACAUGCGUAGAGAUCGGGAGGAAUACCAGUGGCGAAGGCGGCCUUCUGGACUGACACUGACGCUGAGGUGCGAAAGCGUGGGUAGCAAACAGGAUUAGAUACCCGGGUAGUC